rnacentral:rRNA from 1 species
GGAUGCGAUCGUACCAGCACUAAAGCACCGGAUCCCAUCAGAACUCCGAAGUCAAGCGUGCUUGGGCGAGAGUAGUACUAGGAUGGGAGACCUCCUGGGAAGUCCUCGUGUUACAUUCC